AUUAGUUAAGACUCUGCAUUGAACGAACAUGAAAUAUUUAUGCCACCUCUACGUUCUAACUUUGACACUACAUGCGAUACUUGCUUCAUACGGUGAACAGAGAAGGGAUAGGAUCUCAGCUCAAUUUAAGAAUUUUGGUUUAACGACCGAGAGAAGGGAGAGCAUUAUCAAUAUCCCAAAGCCGAAACAGCCUGGUCUAAGGUGGAUCGGUUUAUACGGCAUCGACAAGAAACGACCAUGUAAAAAGGGAAAUCGGCGGCGAAUAUUUUGCAAACAAUGAAUCAGAUUUCAUUUCUAUAUUAUUGUUUGAUGAUUUCUUAAUGCAAUUCAAAGUAAAAUGAUAAAUGAA